rnacentral:pre_miRNA from 10 species
GGGCGCAGGGUGAUGACCUAUGAAUUGACAGCCAGUCGUCCUCAAGUUGCCUGUCAGUUUUAUAGGCCACUGCUGUGU